rnacentral:rRNA from 1 species
GAUGAACGCUGGCGGCGUGCUUAACACAUGCAAGUCGAACGGUGAAAGAGAGCUUGCUCUCUAGAUCAGUGGCGAACGGGUGAGUAACACGUGAGCAAUCUGCCCCUGACUCUGGGAUAAGCGCUGGAAACGGCGUCUAAUACCGGAUACGAGCUGCGAAGGCAUCUUCAGCAGCUGGAAAGAACUUCGGUCAGGGAUGAGCUCGCGGCCUAUCAGCUAGUUGGUGAGGUAACGGCUCACCAAGGCGUCGACGGGUAGCCGGCCUGAGAGGGUGACCGGCCACACUGGGACUGAGACACGGCCCAGACUCCUACGGGAGGCAGCAGUGGGGAAUAUUGCACAAUGGGCGAAAGCCUGAUGCAGCAACGCCGCGUGAGGGACGACGGCCUUCGGGUGGUAAACCUCUUUUAGCAGGGAAGAAGCGAAAGUGACGGUACCUGCAGAAAAAGCACCGGCUAACUACGG